rnacentral:rRNA from 1 species
GAUGAACGCUAGCGGCAGGCCUAAUACAUGCAAGUCGGACGGGAUUCGGGUGCUUGCACCUGAUGAGAGUGGCGCACGGGUGCGUAACACGUAUGUAACCUACCUUAGUCAGGGGGAUAGCCUCUCGAAAGAGAGAUUAAGACCGCAUAACAUCAUUGAAUGGCAUCGUUUGAUGAUCAAAUAUUUAUAGGACUAAGAUGGGCAUGCGCAACAUUAGCUAGUUGGUGUGGUAACGGCAUACCAAGGCUACGAUGUUUAGGGGAUCUGAGAGGAUGACCCCCCACACUGGUACUGAGACACGGACCAGACUGCUACGGGAGGCAGCAGUAAGGAAUAUUGGUCAAUGGACGGAAGUCUGAACCAGCCAUGCCGCGUGCAGGAAGACGGCCCUAUGGGUUGUAAACUGCUUUUGCAGGGGAAUAAACCUCGGUACGUGUACCGAGUUGAAUGUACCUUGAGAAUAAGGAUCGGCUAACUCCGUGCCAGCCGCCGCCGUAAGAC